rnacentral:rRNA from 1 species
GAAGGAUGCAAGCGUUAUCCGGAUUCAUUGGGUUUAAAGGGAGCGUAGGCGGACUUGUAAGUCAGUGGUGAAAUCUGUGGGCUUAACCCACAAACUGCCAUUGAUACUGCAGGUCUAGAGUACAGUUGCCGUUGGCGGAAUAUGACAUGUAGUGGUGAAAUACUUAGAUAUGUCAUAGAACACCGAUUGCGAAGGCAGCUAACGAAGCUGUAACUGACGCUGAGGCUCGAAAGUGCGGGGAUCAAACAGGAUUAGAUACCCUGGUAGUCCGCACUGUAAACGAUGAUUACUCGUUGCUGGGGAGCAAUUUCCAGUGACCAAGCGAAAGCGAUAAGUAAUCCACCUGGGGAGUACGCCGGCAAMGGUG